GACGAACGCGGCGGCGUGCCUAAUACAUGCAAGUCGAGCGGAGUUUUUAAAAGCUUGCUUUUAAAAACUCAGCGGCGGACGGGUGAGUAACACGUGGGCAACCUGCCCUGUAGACUGGGAUAACUUCGGGAAACCGAAGCUAAUACCGGAUAAUCAUAGAAGUUGCAUAGCUUCUAUGUAAAAGUUGGGUUUACCUAACACUACAGGAUGGGCCCGCGUCGCAUUAGCUAGUUGGUAAGGUAACGGCUUACCAAGGCGACGAUGCGUAGCCGACCUGAGAGGGUGAUCGGCCACACUGGGACUGAGACACGGCCCAGACUCCUACGGGAGGCAGCAGUAGGGAAUCUUCCGCAAUGGACGAAAGUCUGACGGAGCAACGCCGCGUGAGCGAUGAAGGCCCUUCGGGUCGUAAAGCUCUG
rnacentral:rRNA from 1 species